AAGGAUAUCUACCAGAAGUUAGGAUUCACAUCACAAGGGACAAGUGCUGCAAAGAUUAAGUAUGAAUUCUCUUAUCUGCAGCUACAUAAGUCCAGGGUAACUCCAUUGAAGUUGGUGGACAUGAUGAGACAGAAGUAUUAAUGACAUAAUGCUGAUGGUACGAGUGUUCUUCCUGAGCUGAUCCUGUUUGUUUGCUGCACUCAACUACAGCAUUACAAGUCUCCAAUAAUGGAGAUAAGUAUUCAGUAGUACUCAUGGAUAGAUUAAAAAAAAAAAAAAAGACAUGUUACACAUGUCAGUGUGAAUUAUUAUCCUAGUUUUAGUGGUUUAGAAUUUGAAAAACAAAGGGAGGUUGAUGUUUGAAGUAUGUCAUUGAAAUCUCCACGGAGGAGGGAAAUUGGGAGUGUUAUACUACAG
rnacentral:lncRNA from 1 species